rnacentral:tRNA from 1 species
UAGCUCAGUGGUAGAGUGUGUGCUUAGCAAGCAAGAGGUUCUGGGUUUGAACCCCAG